rnacentral:lncRNA from 1 species
GGCAGAGGGAGAAGCAGGCUCCAUGCACCGGGAGCCUGAUGUGGGAUUCGAUCCCGGGUCUCCAGGAUCGCACCCUGGGCCAAAGGCAGGCGCCAAAUCACUGCGCCACCCAGGGAUCCCUGUAGCCUCAGGUUCACAUGGGCCUGAGAACCAACCUUCACUCUGCUUACCUGCAUAUCAAAUGUAACUGAGUAUGGGGCUGACACAGUCCAAGGGACAAAUAGGCUUGCCUAAUCUUCUUAAAUAAGAUGCAUGACGAGCUAAUGCCAGCCGUUUUCCUGUGUCCUGACUUUUCUCCAGGAGUCAUGAGUCAUCCAUCAGCUUACAAAUACUGGAACACAGGAUAACUGAUUUUUCACAGGAUACUACAAGUAUGGGACCUUAUGGUGGACCUGUAAGAAUUCUUCCUCGCCACUCCCCCAUCAGCAGAGGACUGGAAACUUUUUUGAAAGCUUUCUGUGAAUGUUGAAGGAUGGUUUUACUCUGGAUUCAGGGAUCCCGGCAGGGGCCCCAUAAAUGAUCCCAAAGAAAUCUUACUCUGUUUAACAAUUGGAGCCUGACAUUCCAAUUUAAUAUCAUGUUUUUGGCCCAAGGCAUGUUGCAAUAAAUAAUUGUGAAUAAUUCUGCUGUCAGCACCCCGUGGUUAUGUAUGCCCCAGUACUCCGCAGAGAACACGGUAUAGAUUUAGUUUGGCUAAGCCAUUUCCCUCAGCAUUAGCUCUGGGAGCAGAGGUCUUACUUUUGGCAAACUCAUUUCCCCCAGUUCUUACUAUAGUCUCUGUUACAUGGUAGGCUCUCAGCAAAUAUUUACUGAAUUUUUCAGAAAAAUUAAAACUCUAUGUUUCAUGACCUGCAAAAUUUAUUUUAAGGACAACCAAAGAAAGAUUUCACUUCUGAUUUUCCGAUCUAGAUGCUGGACUCAAAUUAGUUCUCUACAUCUUCAGAUCUAUAGAUGUCUUAUCGCUUGGAAUAAAAAUCAAUUCACAGAAUAUGGUUUGUCAUUACCAGCUGCUUCUUUCAUUUGUGUUUAUUUUUCAAAUUAGCUUUAAGAGACUUUAUUCUAGCAGUAUUGUUUUUACUGCUUUUCUUAAUAUUUGGGCAUUUGUACUAUCUAUUAAAAUAUAUCCUCCCCCUGUAUGGAACAAUGGCUAGCAAAUAUUGUUCACCAAGGACUACAUCUCCAGCCACCAUUGCAUCAAGCAUGUUUUUAAAAAUACAUACAAUAAAAUAGUAUAAUUAUAAAGUAAAUAAACUACAUUGAACACAAUUUUCAAAAUAUUUAUAAAAUUAGUAAUAUGAUAAUAUAUGGGUAUCUUUAUAAUCUCGUGCUACAGAAGAAAUUACCCCAAAACUUAACUCUUAAAACAUAUAUUAUCUCCUGGUUUCUGUGGGUCAGAAGCAGCUUAGCUGGGUGAUUCUGGCUCAGAGUCUUUCAAAAGUCUGCAUUCAAGGUGACAGCAAUCAUCUGGAAGCUUGACAACAAAAAAUAUCUGUGAUUUCUAUUCGCCACAAAGUUACAAGUUCUGCUAAUACUUCUGAGGUUUUGGCCUACAUUCAUAACUAAAAGAAAUGAUAAAUUCUGGUUCAGAGUUAAAAGGGAUGUAAUUUUCCCCAUACAAGUAUACUGACAGCUCUGAAUUCUACUCAUGGAUCCGGAGGCCUGUGUGUCCUUGAAAUUAAUCCAUGGGCUCUAUGACAUAAAGGAGCCACAACAUGGCUGAGGACGCUGAAUCACUGCUUAAGGAAAUAUCUAUUAACCUGUCCUAAUUGCCUUAAAAUUGAGAAAAAGCUUCUACUGCAUAUGAGCCAUGAUGUAUUUCAGAGUCAUUUGUUACUACAGCCUAGCCUAUAUUCCCUAGUAUAUUUGUCAGUCAAUUAUGAUAUUGUUACUUUCUUCAUUUUGUCCUUCAACAUAUGCUUUUGAGUAAAAUUUCAACUUACCUUUGUGUUAAAUUCCACAUAUGUUUCUGCUAUUAUGGAACAUCUGUCUCAUUUCACUAACAACUAACUCACAAACUUAAUAUGUAUUAAAGACAUAUGGAGACUAAAUUAUAUUUUUUCUGUGACUUUUACUUGAUUUUUUUCCCUUCAGUCUUCAAUUUUAUACACCAGAUGGUUGCCAGCUGGAUCCCUAUGCUUAAAUUUCAAAUGACCAAUAAUGAUAAAUAUAUGUAUGGCUCCUGCUCCUGAAUGAUUUUUAAGCAUGUUAAUGGACUUAUUUUCAAACAAUGAGCAUCUCAUUGUGGGGGCAACAGAUCAUCUCAUAUGCGGUUGCCAGAAAUAUCUCCCUGAAAUCUCCGUGAAAUAUCUCCUUAGACAUUCUGUGUUUAGGCAAAGCUACUGUAUAGGUUAGUGUUGGCAGAAAUUAACCUAGCUACAGUAUAACAUUAAACUCUUUUUAUUUUUUGUCAUGGACAUAAAAACAUGUCUCACCUGUCUCAUUUAACCCCUACCCCUUACCCUUGAGAGUGUUCAUUGAACUUGGAGUUCCUAUCCUCUUGUGGGAGUGCAUGUUUGAAAUGCACAGCAGUUCCUUUGUUUGGGUCUCCUUCCACCACCCUGGGCUAGCUUUCCCACAAGCUGCCUCGGUGGCCCAGGUGCUUUCUGUCCUGGAGGCCCCUGGACCUGCCUCUGUCUUAUUUGAUCUAGGCCUACAACCCGCAGAGACCUCCCCUCUAAGUCAAACACAAGAAAAGGUCAAGUCUAUGAUUUUACAAUCUUUUCUAAAAUUGAAUUUAAAAAUGAGUCAGUAGUGUUUUUAACCUAACUAAACAGAUUCCACUGUGACAAAAUGAAUUUUAAAAAUAAUUGUCUUGCAAAAGAUCAAGCAAUUUUUAGGCCUAUCUAUCAUGGCUGGUUGGAAUUCAGGAUAUAAGAUCCUUUUAAAAGAUUUAUUUAUUUGCUUUUUGGAGAGUGGGGAGGGGCAGAGGAGGAGGGAGAAAGAGAAUCUUGAGCAGACUCCCCACUGAGCAGGAAGCCCAAUGCAGAGCUCCAUGCAGGGCUCAAUCUCAGGACUCUGAGAUCAUGAUCUGGACUGAAAUCAAGAGUGGGUCACUUACCUGACUGCGCCACCCAGGUGUCCCUAUAAAUUCCUCUUAAAUGGAAGCAAACAAUUUAACAUAUGUUUUCUCACUGAACUACAGUAUUUUCCUUCAUUGCUCAAGAGAAGAUUCAUGUAGGAAAACAGAAGACUGCAGGGCAACCAGGAAAAAAGGAAAAAAAAAAAAAAAGAAACAAACUUAAAAAUUCUUUCUGGAAGCAAAUAUCUCCCUCACAGUAAUUUAGAAUUAGAUUUAUUAAAGAACAUGAUUUAGUAACAGGCAUUUUGUGGUUCUUUGUUAGAGCUUUGACAUGAUUUAUAAGUACCACAUACAAAAAACAUCUUUGCUUAGUUCUUAACUCUUCAAGAUCUUCUAUAAUUUAAAUAAAAUUAAGUAAUCUAAAAUUUGAAGUUUAUUUUAAAAGUAAUGCUUAUUGUAGAAAUUUUAUUAAAUGCAGAAAAGCAAAGGGAAAAAAUUGUUUAAAAAUAACCUAUAAUGUCGCCAACCCAAGUAGAAAUAUGGUAUCAUUUUGAGGUUAAUUCCUGUAGUCUAUUUUUAAACAAAUACACAUAAUUUUUAAGAUUUUUAUUGAUUUAUUCAUGAGAGACACACAGAGACAGAGGCAGAGACAUAGGCAGAGGGAGAAGCAGGCUCCAUGCAGGGAGCCCGAUAUGGGACUCGAUCCUGGGACUCCAGGAUCAUGCCCUGGGCUGAAGGCAGAUGCUCAACCGCUGAGCCACCCAGGUAUCCCACAUAAUUUUUUUAACAAGAUUUUUUUUUUUAAGGAUCUUUUUCUUUUUCUUUCUUUCUUUCUU